UGCUUGCCUGCAGACACAGGUGCUAUCCAGAAAACCCGGAUUCGUGCUAUCGUAAUGAGUGGGACAAAGAGCCAUGCCUUAUUUUUGCCAAUGCUGCUAUGGGCAGGUGCUAUGACGGAGUAUGUUAUAGUAACGCAAAGUUCCAAGAGUUGGCCAAGACAAGACCACUUAAAACCUGGAUGCCCUGC